UGUUAAAGGGGUGGUAACUGUUAAAGGGGGCGGGCACUGUGGAAGUCACUGUUAAAGGGGCAGGCACUGUGGAAGUCACUGUGAAAGGGACGGGUACUAUGAAGAUCACUGGUAAAGGGAUGGUCAAUGUUAAAAGGGAGAGCACUGUGGAGGUCACUGUUAAAGAGAUGGGCACUGUGAAUGUCACUGUUAAAGGGGAGGCCACUGUGAAGGUCACUAUUAAAGGGGCGGCCACUAUGAAGGUCACUGUUAAAG